CAACCCAUCUGUCGUCGGCCCGUCGCACAUCCGCCGCCCUCGCCCAGCACAGCGCAGCCGCACAGGCACACCGCACACAGCCGCCACAGCUAGUCGCCAUUGUUCACGGCUGCUCAGCGCUCCAUACCGUGCCCCCAAAUUCCGUGACUCAUCUUCCUUCUCUCUGCCGGGCUGCGCGUGCAGACCACGGACGAACGCACUGCCCCCAAUCCACUGGUUUUUGCUGUUCGGAGUUGGCGCUCGUUUUUCAUUUUCAAUAUCCACUUGUUAUAUUGUAAACUUGUGAUCAAUUUGUUAUAUUGUGAACUUGUGAUUUAUGGGAUUAAUUUGUAAUAUUGUGAACUUGUGAUCUGUGUGAUCCAUUAUUAUAUUGUGAACUUGUGAUAUUGUGAAUUGUGAACAUGUGAUAUUGAAAAUUGUGAA